GACGGAGGAUGCAAGCGUUAUCCGGAAUGAUUGGGCGUAAAGCGUCCGCAGGUGGCAGUUCAAGUCUGCUGUCAAAGACCGGGGCUUAACUUCGGAAAGGCAGUGGAAACUGAACAGCUAGAGUAUGGUAGGGGCAGAGGGAAUUCCUGGUGUAGCGGUGAAAUGCGUAGAGAUCAGGAAGAACAUCGGUGGCGAAGGCGCGCUGCUAGACCAUAACUGACACUCAGGGACGAAAGCUAGGGGAGCGAAUGGG
rnacentral:rRNA from 1 species